AGGUAUUCUCACAAUCCCUCCAUUCAAGCAUGGUCUCUACUGGUGCUCCUGGGUGGGUCUUAAGGUGACUUGAGUUCAACCCUUGAGUCACAGAGCUGUGUGCACAAGCUGCAGGUCUUUCUUCAAGCGAAGAGCAGGCUCUAGGCUGGGAUUUCUCUCUUUUUCUCUCCCUCCACUCUCUCAUCUCUGCUUCAGGGGCAAGAAGCUUGACCUUGGAGUGAGUGGGCUGCUGCUUGGCUGAUGUUGCGGCACCAUUAGAGUCGGCUGGCCACCAGCUCCUUCCAGAUCUUGCUCUCGGUUCCUGUUUUCUGGAAAACAGAGAAGCUUGCUAAUAUUCACCUGGAAGCAGGAUCGGAGGAAGAAAGAUGAAAUCUUUAGCAUAUGUAGAGGGAAAUCUUAAAUAUUACACAAAAAGUGUUGGUAUGCAGAAGAAAGACUAUCAGCUGACAGGUGAAGGACUACAUCCAAGGUUUUGUACCAAGGAGCUUUGUGGAAUCAAGAGUGGAACAGUUUGUUUUUUGCUAAAAAGGCUGUACUG